rnacentral:rRNA from 1 species
GGAGCACAGGUUUACCUGUGUGACUGCGUACCUUUUGUAUAAUGGGUCAGCGACUUAUAUUCUGUAGCAAGGUUAACCGUAUAGGGGAGCCGUAGGGAAACCGAGUCUUAACCGGGCGUUAAGUUGCAGGGUAUAGACCCGAAACCCGGUGAUCUAGCCAUGGGCAGGUUGAAGGUUGGGUAACACUAACUGGAGGACCGAACCGACUAAUGUUGAAAAAUUAGCGGAUGACCUGUGGCUGGGGGUGAAAGGCCAAUCAAACCGGGAGAUAGCUGGUUCUCCCCGAAAGCUAUUUAGGUAGCGCCUCGUGAAUUCAUCUCCGGGGGUAGAGCACUGUUUCGGCUAGGGGGCCAUCCCGGCUUACCAACCCGAUGCAAACUGCGAAUACCGGAGAAUGUUAUCACGGGAGACACACGGCGGGUGCUAACGUCCGUCGUGAAGAGGGAAACAACCCAGACCGCCAGCUAAGGUCCCAAAGUCAUGGUUAAGUGGGAAACGAUGUGGGAAGGCCCAGACAGCCAGGAUGUUGGCUUAGAAGCAGCCAUCAUUUAAAGAAAGCGUAAUAGCUCACUGGUCGAGUCGGCCUGCGCGGAAGAUGUAACGGGGCUAAACCAUGCACCGAAGCUGCGGCAGCGAACGUAUCACCCAAGACAACUUUACGGAGUUGACGAUUGACGGAGCGAAGCGACGUCAAAGCGUUCAUUAAAGUCGAGUUGGCUUAGGGAUACGUUCGUUGGGUAGGGGAGCGUUCUGUAAGCCUGUGAAGGUGUGUCGUGAGGCAUGCUGGAGGUAUCAGAAGUGCGAAUGCUGACAUAAGUAACGAUAAAGCGGGUGAAAAGCCCGCUCGCCGGAAGACCAAGGGUUCCUGUCCAACGUUAAUCGGGGCAGGGUGAGUCGACCCCUAAGGCGAGGCCGAAAGGCGUAGUCGAUGGGAAACGGGUUAAUAUUCCCGUACUUGGUGUUACUGCGAAGGGGGGACGGAGAAGGCUAUGUUGGCCGGGCGACGGUUGUCCCGGUUUAAGCGUGUAGGUGUGUGUUCCAGGUAAAUCCGGUUCACUUUAACACUGAGGCGUGACGACGAGGCACUACGGUGCUGAAGCAACAAAUGCCCUGCUUCCAGGAAAAGCCUCUAAGCAUCAGGUAACACGAAAUCGUACCCCAAACCGACACAGGUGGUCAGGUAGAGAAUACCAAGGCGCUUGAGAGAACUCGGGUGAAGGAACUAGGCAAAAUGGUGCCGUAACUUCGGGAGAAGGCACGCUGACACGUAGGUGAAGUGAUUUACUCAUGGAGCUGAAGUCAGUCGAAGAUACCAGCUGGCUGCAACUGUUUAUUAAAAACACAGCACUGUGCAAACACGAAAGUGGACGUAUACGGUGUGACGCCUGCCCGGUGCCGGAAGGUUAAUUGAUGGGGUCAGCGUAAGCGAAGCUCCUGAUCGAAGCCCCGGUAAACGGCGGCCGUAACUAUAACGGUCCUAAGGUAGCGAAAUUCCUUGUCGGGUAAGUUCCGACCUGCACGAAUGGCGUAAUGAUGGCCAGGCUGUCUCCACCCGAGACUCAGUGAAAUUGAACUCGCUGUGAAGAUGCAGUGUACCCGCGGCAAGACGGAAAGACCCCGUGAACCUUUACUAUAGCUUGACACUGAACAUUGAGCCUUGAUGUGUAGGAUAGGUGGGAGGCUUUGAAGUGUGGACGCCAGUCUGCAUGGAGCCGACCUUGAAAUACCACCCUUUAAUGUUUGAUGUUCUAACGUGGACCCGUAAUCCGGGUUGCGGACAGUGUCUGGUGGGUAGUUUGACUGGGGCGGUCUCCUCCUAAAGAGUAACGGAGGAGCACGAAGGUUGGCUAAUCCUGGUCGGACAUCAGGAGGUUAGUGCAAUGGCAUAAGCCAGCUUGACUGCGAGCGUGACGGCGCGAGCAGGUGCGAAAGCAGGUCAUAGUGAUCCGGUGGUUCUGAAUGGAAGGGCCAUCGCUCAACGGAUAAAAGGUACUCCGGGGAUAACAGGCUGAUACCGCCCAAGAGUUCAUAUCGACGGCGGUGUUUGGCACCUCGAUGUCGGCUCAUCACAUCCUGGGGCUGAAGUAGGUCCCAAGGGUAUGGCUGUUCGCCAUUUAAAGUGGUACGCGAGCUGGGUUUAGAACGUCGUGAGACAGUUCGGUCCCUAUCUGCCGUGGGCGCUGGAGAACUGAGGGGGGCUGCUCCUAGUACGAGAGGACCGGAGUGGACGCAUCACUGGUGUUCGGGUUGUCAUGCCAAUGGCACUGCCCGGUAGCUAAAUGCGGAAGAGAUAAGUGCUGAAAGCAUCUAAGCACGAAACUUGCCCCGAGAUGAGUUCUCCCUGAGACUUAGAGUCUCCUGAAGGAACGUUGAAGACGACGACGUUGAUAGGCCGGGUGUGUAAGCGCAGCGAUGCGUUGAGCUAACCGGUACUAAUGAACCGUGAGGCUUAACCUUACA